rnacentral:rRNA from 1 species
AAACCAACAGGGAUUGCCUCAGUAGCGGCGAGUGAAGCGGCAAGAGCUCAGAUUUGAAAUCUCACCUAGUGUGCGAGUUGUAAAUUGCAGGUUGGAGUCUCGGGUUAGACGUGUGUGCAAGUCCCUUGGAACAGGGCGCCACUGAGGGUGAGAGCCCCGUAGCGUGCAUGUCGAUACCUGUGAGGCCCUUCUGACGAGUCGAGUUGUUUGGGAAUGCAGCUCUAAGUGGGUGGUAAAUUCCAUCUAAGGCUAAAUAUUGGCGAGAGACCGAUAGCGAACAAGUACUGUGAAGGAAAGAUGAAAAGCACUUUGAAAAGAGAGUGAAACAGCACGUGAAAUUGUUGAAAGGGAAGGGUAUUGGGCUCGACAUGGGAUUUACGCAUCGUUGCCUCUUGUGGGCGGCGCUCUGGGUUUUUCCUGGGCCAGCAUCGGUUUUCGUUGCAGGAUAAGGACAAUUGGAAUGUGGCUCCUCGGAGUGUUAUAGCCUUUUGUAGAUGCUGCGUAUGGGGACCGAGGGCUGCGGCGGACUCGUUUCGUCUCGGAUGCUGGCACAACGGCGCAAUACCGC